rnacentral:tRNA from 1 species
GGGCCGUUAGCUCAGUUGGCAGAGCAGCUGACUCUUAAUCAGCGGGUCGUAGGUUCGAAUCCUACACGGCCCACCA